UCAAUGGCCAUUUUUGCAAUAGAUUCAUCUUGAACAUUGCUAGCCACCGAAAUGGCGAACAAGAAAGAGAGGAUGCUCUGAACGUAAAGAGACAUUUCAAACUGAAGUUCCAAUUGCUCAGGUACGCCGAAUUUAAAGGUGAAAUUUCGGGGAAUUCCGAAAUAUAUCUGCCAGAAUCCCUGAAAAACGAAGGGCAUCUCUGUUCCCUUUCAUCAUCCAUACGGUCUGUGAAACGCCUUCAGCCAACGACCUCUUCAUUGUAGACUGGCCAUACGACCUCAUGAGACG